CCUACGGGGGGCAGCAGUGAGGAAUAUUGGUCAAUGGGCGCAAGCCUGAACCAGCCAUCCCGCGUGCAGGAUGACGGCCCUAUGGGUUGUAAACUGCUUUUAUACACCAAGAAAAAUCUCCACGUGUGGGGACCCGACGGUAGUGUAUGAAUAAGCAUCGGCUAACUCCGUGCCAGCAGCCGCGGUAAUACGGAGGAUGCGAGCGUUAUCCGGAUUCAUUGGGUUUAAAGGGUGCGUAGGCGGCUUUUUAAGUCAGUGGUGAAAUCCUGUCGCUUAACGAUAGAAUUGCCAUUGAUACUGAUAAGCUUGAGUACAGUUGAGGUAAGCGGAAUGUGUAGUGUAGCGGUGAAAUGCUUAGAUAUUACACAGAACACCGAUUGCGAAGGCAGCUUACUAAACUGUUACUGACGCUGAUGCACGAAAGCGUGGGGAGCGAACAGGAUUAGAUACCCCUGUAGUCCCA
rnacentral:rRNA from 1 species